rnacentral:rRNA from 1 species
UACAGAGGUGCCGAGCGUUAGGCGGAAUCACUGGGCUUAAAGCGCGUGUAGGCGGGUCGUUAAGUGUCCGCGUGAAAUCCCACGGCUCAACCGUGGAACUGCCGGGCAUACUGGUGACCUUGAGGCACUUAGGGGCGAGCGGAACAAAUGGUGGAGCGGUGAAAUGCGUAGAUAUCAUUUGGAACGCCGACGGUGAAAACAGCUCGCUGGGAGUGUCCUGACGCUGAGACGCGAAAGCCAGGGGAGCGAACGGG